rfam:Catenaria anguillulae PL171 BCR44scaffold_42, whole genome shotgun sequence.
GGGGUUUGAUGCCUACUGGUAGAGUGCUCGCUUUGCAUGCGAGAAGCCGCGGGUUCGAACCCCGCAAGCUCCA